rnacentral:lncRNA from 1 species
CCAUCACAGCACCCCAGAGGAGACAAAUUCUGGAGCUCAGAGAGCUGGGAGGGCAGCUGCUGGUGUGACCUCAGCUGCUCCCCAGACCCUAAGGGGAUCUGGGACCUUCCACCUUCUACCAACGGUGUUGGUCUUCUGUCCUCACGCCUAUGGUUUCACGCUCCCACAGUGGCUCCUGCACCUUCAGACACUGCCUCCUCACCGAGGGAGGGAAGAACGACAAAGGUGAUGACCAGAGGACCUCCAGGACGUAGAGGUUGAUGAUCCGGGCAGGUGGCCUUCAGCGAGGGAGCACGUCAAAAGGCUGUGGGCCGUGCAGACAGCUGGGGGACACCGUCCCGGGUGUGACCUUGGGCCACACGGCAGGGUGGUGGACUUGCUCCUAGAAUUGGGCUCCAGGGCUGAAGCCAGCCCCUCUGAUCUGGCACUGGCCGGCUCCAUUCACCCUUUUUGGGGCUUACUGCCGCAGAGACUUCCUUUGAGGAGAGCUGGACCCAAGACGCCAGAGUUCCGGGGGCACUGAGUGCUGUGUGGCACCCGGGCCAGGAGAAACAUGUGCCAGAGGGCAGGCGUGGGCUCUCCGGGGAGUCUCUGCGUAGACUUUCUAGCCCAGAGGUUCAGGUGAUGGACCAGAGACUGGCCGCUUUGUGACACCGAGGACGGUUGAUAAAGUGGAUUCUCGAGGGGAAGCUGCAUCCACACAGAGGCUGGGACGUGAAUGUGCAUCACGGCUCUAUCUGUGGCCCCCAAAGGCUGGGUGCCAGCUGCCUGUCGGCAGGGAGCGUAUCACC